rnacentral:rRNA from 1 species
CGCAUGAAUCGAAGGCGCCCGGAGGUUGUCCUGUGCGAGGGCGGGGGGGAGUAAUGAUGGAAUGUUCCCCACGGGGCAUAAGACCGAAAGGGUCUAAGCGGCAUCGCCUGGGGGGGAAGGGGGAUUCGCAGGGACCUCACGGGAUGAGCGGAUGAUGUGGAUUGCUAGGGGGGGGGUAAAGGCUCGCCAAGGGACGAUCCGUAGGGGUCUGAGAGGACGACCAGCCACACUGGGAAUGAGACACGGCCCAGACUCCUACGGGAGGCAGCAGUGGGGAAUUUUGGACAAGGGGGGCAACCCUGAUCCAUCCAUGCCGCGUGAGUGAAGAAGGCCUUCGGGUGUAAAGCUCGUUCGGGAGGAAAGAAACGGUCAGGCGAAUACCCUGAGCUAAUACGGU